rnacentral:rRNA from 1 species
GGACGCCGAUAUCGGAUUAGCUAGUUGGUGGGGUAAAGGCCUACCAAGGCGACGAUCCGUAGCUGGUCUGAGAGGACGACCAGCCACACUGGAACUGAGACACGGUCCAGACUCCUACGGGAGGCAGCAGUGGGGAAUUUUGGACAAUGGGCGCAAGCCUGAUCCAGCCAUUCCGCGUGAGUGAAGAAGGCCUUCGGGUUGUAAAGCUCUUUCGCAAGGGAAGAAACGUUACGAGCGAAUAACUCGUGAUAAUGACGGUACCUUGAUAAGAAGCACCGGCUAACUACGUGCCAGCAGCCGCGGUAAUACGUAGGGUGCGAGCGUUAAUCGGAAUUACUGGGCGUAAAGCGUGCGCAGGCGGUUUUGUAAGUCAGAUGUGAAAUCCCCGAGCUCAACUUGGGAACUGCGUUUGAAACUACAAGGCUAGAAUAUGUCAGAGGGGGGUAGAAUUCCACGUGUAGCAGUGAAAUGCGUAGAGAUGUGGAGGAAUACCAAUGGCGAAGGCAGCCCCCUGGGAUAAUAUUGACGCUCAUGCACGAAAGCGUGGGGAGCAAACAGGAUUAGAUACCCUGGUAGUCCACGCCCUAAACGAUGUCUACUAGUUGUUGGUGGAGUAAAAUCCAUGAGUAACGCAGCUAACGCGUGAAGUAGACCGC